GGAACACCUGGCUGAUGGAGGGGAAGUGGUCGCCUUGGUUGCGGCCGAGGAGCAGUUCGAUGCUGCGGAGCUUCU